UUUAUUUUCCUUUCCUUUCCUUCCCUUCCCCUCGAUCAAAAAAAUACCGUAAGGCUCUGGGUAUCUUUUAUCAAAUUCCUUCUUAUGUUGUCCUUGCUUUCGGUUUAUCUUGAAGUUCAUUUCUUCUUCAUUGCCACAACAGAUUUCGAUUCGUUAUUUCUGUGGCCUGUUGGGUCUUAAGAGAAAAUCCAACUUUUAUCGCUUUGUAUACUUGAAUUUGAUUCAAUAAGUUGAACCUAUUUCGUAUUUUUUGAAAAUUCAAUUGGGUUUUUCUUUUUUAACUCUCAUUGCUAUUCAUUAGCUACAAAGUGAAAAAUCAAGUGUUUUAUUUUUGGAUGGAAGGUGGGGUAGAGAGUGUAGAUUACACCAGAUCUUCCCUUGCUUUCUGAAUACAUCAUUUUGUGGGGGCAUAUGGAAGAUUCCACUUGAGUGAAAAAAAGCGCAGCAUCAUCUAUUAAAGAUUAGUAAGAGCCGACCUUUCUUUUGUUGAGUAGCUCCUUGAAGUUGGCUUCUCAUUCUACUCAAUGCCAAAACGCUAGACAUCUUUAAUGAAGGCUGGGAACUGACCAGUCUACAUCAAUACCCCUAGCCAUCCACUGAAAGAAAGUGGAUAAUUCAAACCUCUAGGAUAAAGGAGGACCUCAACUUUAAAGUUAAAAGGCUCAACAAGGGCUGAUGAUAUUCACAGAAUGCAUCAGGUAUGAUCCACAGUAGCCAUGAAUUAAGGUCCUCCAGUAACCCUUCUCUCAAAUGUAAUGUUGUCUUUUUCUUUUUCUUUUUUUUUUUUUCAUUUGUACAUUACAAGAAAAGGAGAAUCCUACUUUAGAGCUUUUAAUGUUUGAGUAUAUAUGCAAAGGAGGUGGCAACUUUUCUGCCCUUUUCCUAGCUACAUGAGUGAGAAGAUUUAUUAUUAUUUUUUUUUGAUAAUUGAGGCUGCCAGGUAUUGUACCCUGAUUAUUGGAACUAAGAGUCCAAUACUCUACUAACAAAUCACGACUGUUGGCACAUAGAAGUUGUUGACUGUGAGGGAUGGUGCUCAUGUAAUCAUUACUGUGCAUAUUAAGCUGAUAUUAAUGGUAUAUGCAAUAACACUUUUCUGGAAUGAUUGUCUUGGUACAAUUUUUCUCUAAAUACUGCACCAAACAGAGCCAGAAUGGUGAUGGGGCUCACUAUUUGCUUCUAUUGCCUGUAGUGUUGCUUUUUUACCCUUUAAUCCAUGUUCAGAUCUGCAAUAUCAAUCAUUUAGUAGAUAUGUAGCAAACCUAAAGCUUCCUUAAUGUAAACUCCUUAAGUCUUAAGGAUUAAUUGUCAUGUAAGCUUUACACGUUCUAGAUGUUGAUAACUGAAACCAAAGAAUCUAAGUCUGUGAUGUAUAUUUGCAUAGAAAAGUGCCUUUGAAUAUUUUUAUUAGUAGCAUCACUAGGUGCUUUUCAUAUUUCUGUCUAAUAUGAGGUACAAGGCAUGUGAUGACUGUUCUUAUCAAUGAACAAGAAAAUAGAUUCCUGUAAUGUUUAGUAUAAUCCAUAAUGAUAAGCAAACGGUCUACAGGUUAUGUCCUAUUUUGUGGGGGAUUAUAUGUGGCUGGAUGUAUAUGAUAUUGCCUUAGGGACUUUCCCUGAAAAGCCAAGAUCCCCUUUCUUCUUUAUUAUGGCUAAACUUUUUUCGGAAACACUUCCAUUACUGACCUGUCUUUAAUGCUGUUUUAAUAGCUAUCUCUAUUUCCUGCACGUUAAAUUAGCUUAUUAUGGUUCAACCGUAUGAGCAAGACCAUUCUAUGUUCCUUAUAGGAAUAGCAGUGGAACAUGCUGCU